CUGCCCUUUGGCCUGGAAUAACACGAGGAAACUUGUGCUAAUACCGGAUAAGUCUUUACGGAGAAAGCUUUAUGCACCAUUGGAUGAGCCUGCACUUGAUUAGUUUGUUGGUAGGGUAAUGGCCUACCAAGACUGUGAUCAAUAGCUGAUUUGAGAGGAUGAUCAGCCACAUUGGGACUGAGACACGGCCCAAACUCCUACGGGAGGCAGCAGUGGGGAAUCUUGCACAAUGGAGGAAACUCUGAUGCAGCGAUGCCGCGUGAGUGAAGAAGGCCUUUGGGUUGUAAAGCUCUUUCGUCGGGGAAG
rnacentral:rRNA from 1 species